UACGUAGGGUGCGAGCGUUAAUCGGAAUUACUGGGCGUAAAGCGUGCGCAGGCGGUUCGUUGUGUCGGCGGUGAAAGCCCCGGGCUUAACCUGGGAAUGGCCGUUGAAACUGGCGAACUGGAGUGUGGCAGAGGGGGGUGGAAUUCCGCGUGUAGCAGUGAAAUGCGUAGAGAUGCGGAAGAACACCGAUGGCGAAGGCAACCCCCUGGGCUAACACUGACGCUCAGGCACGAAAGCGUGGGGAGCAAACAGG
rnacentral:rRNA from 1 species